AAAAAAAAAUCAGUUUUUCUUCCUCUUUUUAUUAACAAAGUCAUUAAGAAUCAUAUCACUAUCAUUAACUUCAGUGUUAUCCUCUUCUGCAUUCUCAUCUUCAUUUCCUUGGUUAGAACUUUCAGGAGUACUUGCUUCCACUGAUAGUGAGUCUUCAGAAAUAUGCACAUUUGGUUGAGGUCCUUCUCUUUGUUCUUUCAGCAGCCUUAUAACUAUUCUUAAGCCUUAUAACAUAAUCCUUUCAAACUCCGACCUUGCCCUGUAAUGACUGCCUAGAAGAGAUUCUAGUUCAUCUUCAUAAUUAGGAACCUCAUUUUUGUACACCCA
rnacentral:lncRNA from 1 species